GGGAAGGUGGCUCAGUGGUAGAGUGCUUGCCUUACAUGCUUGAGGCCCUGGGUUAGAUUCCUCGUCACCACA
rfam:Dipodomys ordii contig_75298, whole genome shotgun sequence.